GCAAGUCGAGCGGUCGACGGCUCUUCGGAGGCGUCGGCAGCGGCGGACGGGUGAGGAACACGUGAGUAACCGGGCGUCCGGUGGGGGAUAUCGGGCCGAAAGGCGCGGCAAUCCCGCAUGCGCCCCGGGCGGCGCCAGCCGCCGGGGGGAAAGGCCUUCGGGUCGCCGGACGGGGGGCUCGCGGCCCAUUAGCUAGUUGGGGGGGUAACGGCCUCCCAAGGCGACGAUGGGUAGCCGGCCUGAGAGGGUGAUCGGCCACACUGGGACUGAGACACGGCCCAGACUCCUACGGGAGGCAGCAGUAGGGAAUCUUCCACAAUGGGCGCAAGCCUGAUGGAGCAACGCCGCGUGAGUGAAGACGGCCUUCGGGUUGUAAAGCUCUGUCUGUCGGGACGAGGACCGCGCCGGAGGGCGCGGGGGGACGGUACCGGCGGAGGAAGCCCCUGCAAACUACGUGCCAGCAGCCGCGGUAAGACGUAGGGGGCAAGCGUUGUCCGGAAUUACUGGGCGUAAAGGGCGUGUAGGCGGUUGCGCACGUAGCGGUUUUCAGCCGUCGGCUCACCCGACGGAGGGCGGCUAAACGGCGCGGCUUGAGGGCAGGAGAGGUGCAUGGAAUUCCUGGUGGAGCGGUGAAAUGCGUAGAGAUCAGGAAGAACACCGGUGGCGAAGGCGGUGCACUGGCCUGGCCCUGACGCUGAGGCGCGACAGCGUGGGGAGCGAACGGGAUUAGAUACCCCGGUAGUCCACGCCGUAAACGAUGGAUACGAGGUGUCGCGGGGGUCCACCUCGCGGUGCCGGAGCUAACGCACUCAGUAUCCCGCCUGGGGAGUACGGCCGCAAGGUUGAAACUCAAAGGAAUUGACGGGGGCCCGCACAAGCAGUGGAGCAUGUGGUUUAAUUCGACGCAACGCGCAGAACCUUACCAGGG
rnacentral:rRNA from 1 species